AUUCCAGCUCCAAUAGCGUAUAUUAAAGUUGUUGCAGUUAAAACGCUCGUAGUCGGAUUUCGGGGCCUGCCUGCCGGUCUGCCGAUGGGUAUGCACUGGCAGGCGCGUCCUUCCUUCCGGAGACUGUCCCUACUCUUAACUGAGCGGGGUCGGGAGACGGAUCGUUUACUUUGAAAAAAUCAGAGUGUUUCAAGCAGGCAGCUCGCUCUUGCAUGGAUUAGCAUGGGAUAAUGAAAUAGGACUUUGGUGCUAUUUUGUUGGUUUGCGCACCAAAGUAAUGAUUAAUAGGGACAGUUGGGGGUAUUCGUAUUCCGUUGUCAGAGGUGAAAUCCUUGGAUUUACGGAAGACGAACUACUGCGAAAGCAUUUACCAAGGAUGUUUUCAUUA
rnacentral:rRNA from 1 species